GAUGCCAUAGAAACUGGUAGACUAGAGUGCAGGAGAGGUUAGUGGAAUUCCAUGUGUAGCGGUAAAAUGCGUAGAUAUAUGGAGGAACACCAGUGGCGAAGGCGGCUAACUGGCCUGUAACUGACGCUGAGGCUCGAAAGCGUGGGGAGCAAAUAGGAUUAGAUACCCUAGUAGUCCACGCCGUAAACGAUGGAUACUAAGUGUUGGAGAAAUUCAGUGCUGUAGUUAACGCAAUAAGUAUCCCGCCUGGGGAGUAUGCGCGCAAGCGUAAAACUCAAAGGAAUUGACGGGGGCCCGCACAAGCGGUGGAGUAUGUGGUUUAAUUCGAAGCAACGCGAAGAACCUUACC
rnacentral:rRNA from 1 species